GCACCGGUAGUGUUACCCAUAUGCCUUGGCUAUAUAAUCACUCCUCUGCGCCUCACACUGCCUUAUGAUAACAGCCUCAUGUAGAAGAUUCAUGGUGUAGCUGUCGGCAACGUCUCACGAGGGCAUAUAAUCUCAUAGCCGUGUGGAUAAUUUCCAAAAGCAUAAGACUAAGGCAACACAACUCGAGCUAAACCUUACCUUACUAAUCCUAUUGAGGCAAAGAGAAGGCCUCACCUACUAGCAAGCAUGUAAAAAAUAAGAACUUGAACUGACCAAAUAUUCAAUGAUCAUCACAGAGUUUAUAACAUACUUUGUGAUGAUAUUACAAAUGAGAAUACUAAGAAAGUGGUAAAAUAGAAUGUAGUACCAAUUUGAUUCUUGUCACUUCUUUUCUAAACUUGUAAAAUCUUCAAUUUGUAAUUCUUUGUUGUUUUCCUGUCAGGUCACCGUUUUAUUUUUAUAGAAAAUAUUUUUUUCUUUAAAACACUUGGACUCAGAACUAAGUCCGCACCAGAGGUUUGGGUAAGGGGAUUCAUUUAACUCGGGGAGAAGGUAUUAGGCACUCCUCAAGUCCCGUAACUAAUACGGUUGCAUACUUGAUCUAGUCGGCUUUUAAAAUAUUCAAGUUGAGGUAAAAUCACAGAAAAGAAAAUAAACACAAAAGAGGCUCGAGGUUGUCCCCACCUAAAUGAUAGAAAAUUAAAAAAAGAAAAAAACUAAAGUUCUAAAUUAUCCUAUGUUAUUUCUUCUACGAUGUUCGCCAUGACCUCCAAUUACAUAGUACUAUGGGGUAUUCCCGGAAUAAAAUAUAUACAAAUCCUUCAGGGUAUUCCCCAUAUAAAUUUAACUAAAGGAACGACCUCUCGCCUCAGAACCAACAAAAAUCCUAAGGCUUGUCUACCCAAAUAUUGUCGGCCUAAGCAUGCUCCUAGCGGAAGAUGUAAUAGAAGUAACAAAAUAAAACUAAACGAAAUAGAAAUGAAUUUCAUGCUCAUUCACUUUUGAGUUUCUUCUUUCAUGCAUUUGUCCGGCCAGCCCAACUUCCCGCAGCCCGUGCGUGAACCAAACAUUCAUCCAAUCAACCAAAACAAGCACAUACGAAUAGACGUCUAAGGUAGUAAGCAUUCAGCAUUGAAAAAGUAAUAAAAAUAGUAAAAGCCUAUCCCAAUAUAACGUUCCAAUACACACAAAAAGAAGAGGACAACGUGAGUUAAGUCCUAUACGAACAGUUUAGGAAUUAGUAUGCCAUUUUCCUAGAUAUUGUUACUACAUGAACUUUCAAAAACCAUUUAAGCUAAUUUGAACAAUUCUAGGAGUGAACAUGGAUGAAAUGUAAUGCAAAUAAUGACCAGGCUUCUGCCAAAUACUUAAACUAUUCUAAGAGGACAAAAGUAAACCCAGAACACAACUAGCUUAGACAACGUUCAGAAAACAUGUUUAACUAUAUAUCAGCACAGAGAACGGGUCUACAAACAAGAAAAAGCAACUCAUCUCGUGAGAAAAUUGAUUUUUGAUUUUUUCUUUGGCUUCAAGGAUCGAUUAUGUCCCAAACUGUUCGAGACGACAAGAUAAUCCAGUGACUCACUUAACAUAUGAGGGAAAUAGCAUUUAGAGACAGUAGACAAAACAAAGAGUUGCACUUUCAGAUCAUUAUCCAGGAAAGAUAAGAGUUGUCAAUUCAAUCCCAAGGUAAAAUGAAAUCAAGUUGGUUUAAGUUCAAAGGCGAAUCCGCUAAACUUCAACAAAACGUUAAUUAUUUAGUCAUGAAUUGAAACUAAGCCAAUCGAGAUUAGUAACAUUGAAGCAUAGGCGAACAAAACCAACCAUCAACUAGCUGAGCAGACAAAUCAGCUGGAAUUUAAGCAAGAAGGCCAACUGAAUACACUGCCUAUUUAUGUAAAACUCGACGCAAUCGAGUACCAAAUCAGCGAUUACAAAGUUAAGUCAUAUUGCCGUCCAAUGUGUCCAAACUAAAUAGGUUCGAAACCAUAAACAUUUAAACAUAGAAGUAAAGUAGAACGCAAGUAACGGAAGGGGAUCAAAUCUAACUAAAAUCAAACGUGAUAGGGGAGACAGAAAUGAACCUGGAUAUUCAGAAUUUCAAUUAAUUCCAGAAGCGAGGACAUGAAAAGUUCAGCGACAGGGAACUUAAGUGAAUCGCAAACAAGAACAAGAACUUCGAAUAAGAACCCGAACGACAAAUGAACUUCAACUCCGACGAGCUUCAACCAACCUCAAUCAAGGUCCAUAUUUGAAGCGAAAUCCAAAAAUGAAUUAAGAUUUUUAAUAUGUUUCUAAUUUUUCGAAAUGAAACAAAACUCAGAAUAAAAAUCAAACUUAAACUUCUUCUUUUUUCGUUUUUCUGGAAUGUAAAGCAAACACUAAAAAAAAAUCUCAAGACUCAAAGAACCCUAGACCUUUUUUCCACCUUUUUCUUUUUUUCCUCCUUUCCAAGACUGUCCGAAAACUUCCAAAUAUAUAUCCCCUCCCGAAUCUUCUUUCCCUCUUCUCCAAGAAAACCGAUUUUUUAUUUUCGAAAUCUGAAAAAUCCCCUAAAAAUCCCAAAGCCUUUUUCGUGCAAACGGGUUUUAGGCAAAUGGACGCUUAGGAUCAAAAGAUCUCGAUCCUAUGGCUCCCAUUUAACUAUCAUCCAUUUAUGAAUGACUCGAAUUCUUCAAAGAAAUUGACAAGAGCGCAUGAGAUGAGAAGAAAACGCGUUAAAAUCAGAUGCUAAUGAUGAGAGGGGACCAUGUGAGUUAACUCGCCUGGUUUGGACGAGUUCCGGCGAGUUUGGGGUGGUAGGCGCGCGGGCAGAGGUGUGUUGGAGAGGGGUCAGGAGCCAUUUG
rnacentral:lncRNA from 1 species